CCGAAUGCCUCUGCUGCAACAUGCUCACUGUACAUUUUUCCAAUUUACACCCGCAAAGAGCUUGUAGGCUUUCAACCUCCGCUUGUGGGAAUACUGCGAUGGCCGAGGUGUGACCAACUCCAGCCAAAGGAAGUCACGGCCACAGUGCUGUUACAAGGUCAAUUUAUAAACCCUGGUGGAUCCCACCUGGUUCUCUCCAUGGAGGUGGCACCCCUCUAAAAAUGGCUCCUUCCGGCAUGUCUGAUUGACCGGGGACUCUGAUCAAGAGCACAAACUACAAACUAUGGUCAAAGAAAAACCGAUUCAAAGUAUUUCAGGGACAACCCGUGAGACGAACGUCCUGCCUCAUCAUAAACCUUAUCGCCUCUCUAAAAUCCAGAACAAGUGUUGAAACUGG